rnacentral:ncRNA from 1 species
GUGAGCCUAGUGAUAGGAGACUAUCUAGCUUGGUUCAGAUAGCACUUGUUGGGUUUCAGAUUCGUUUUUUGCUAAAU